rnacentral:rRNA from 1 species
GAUGAACGCUGGCGGCGUGCCUAAUACAUGCAAGUCGAGCGAACAGACGAGGAGCUUGCUCCUCUGACGUUAGCGGCGGACGGGUGAGUAACACGUGGAUAACCUACCUAUAAGACUGGGAUAACUUCGGGAAACCGGAGCUAAUACCGGAUAAUAUAUUGAACCGCAUGGUUCAAUAGUGAAAGACGGUUUUGCUGUCACUUAUAGAUGGAUCCGCGCCGCAUUAGCUAGUUGGUAAGGUAACGGCUUACCAAGGCGACGAUGCGUAGCCGACGUGAGAGGGUGAUCGGCCACACUGGAACUGAGACACGGUCCAGACUCCUACGGGAGGCAGCAGUAGGGAAUCUUCCGCAAUGGGCGAAAGCCUGACGGAGCAACGCCGCGUGAGUGAUGAAGGUCUUCGGAUCGUAAAACUCUGUUAUUAGGGAAGAACAAAUGUGCAAGUAACUAUGCACGUCUUGACGGUACCUAAUCAGAAAGCCACGGCUAACUACGUG